CACUGCUGCCAAUCAAAAAUUUUUCAGAAAGAAAGACAAGAGACAUCGCAGGACUGAAUAGCUCCUUCAGUGUCUUGGAGGCGUCAUUCAAACCUGGACUAUUUGUGACACAACAGCAAGUACAUUAGCGAAGUAAACUAUCUUUUCAGCCCAAGCUUUUAAUUUCCUAUCUUAUGGGAGUCAGGAGAUCUGGAGAUUUUACUUGCUAACUGAAAGGAAUAAUUAUAUAUAUUCUGACAGCACUUGAAAGUGAGAUUCUCCCGUCUCAGCCUAUGAGUUAAAGGCCAGAAACCAACCAGAAGACUAAUGAUGAAGUUGUACUUUGAGUCCUGCAAGCAUAAUGGAACAUUUGGAUGUCUCAUUAUCUGGAAAGAAAGAGUCCCUCUGAAGGAUUUGGACUACAGAGAUUUGAGGAUGUUGGCUAAUUAUUUGCAUGAAUGAUCAGAGACCUAAAGAAACCAAUAACAGAAGUGAGUGUCAGGUAUAACUAUGUACAAACAUGCAUCACACCAAGCAUCUGCUUAGAAAGAUGCCUGUUUCCGCUCGAACGCUUAAUGUGUUUGCUUCAUAUCUUGAACAUAUCAAUAAUCGGGUGAACAAUAGGAUUUUUCUGCCAGAACCAUGUCAAGGACCAUGUUAGAACUUGAUCAAGUGACUCAUAUGAUUUGCUGGAGUGACAGAAAUAGAUAACACAAAUUGAAUAAACAACAGGAAGUUUCUCUCUGGCUGGCCACUAGUCUACUACUCCUUACUACUGUUAAGAACCUAAUAAACUAACUCGAGAGACAAAUGA